GGCUUUAUAUUCAUAUUAGGUAUGAUAAUAGAAUGCAAUUCUAUAGGAGUAAAACAUUUACUAAGGCUU
rnacentral:tRNA from 1 species